AUUGAACGCUGGCGGCAGGCCUAACACAUGCAAGUCGAGCGGAGCGGCGGACGGGCGAGUGAUGACUAGGUAUCUGCCUGGUCGUGGUGGAUAACGUACGGAAACGGGCGCUAGUCCCGUAUACUAUCAGAUAAGGCUGGGUCGGAUUAGCUAGGUUGUGGGGUAGAGGCCUACCAAGGCGACGAUCCGUAACUGGUCUGAGAGGAUGAUCAGUCAGACUGGAACUGAGACACGGGCCAGACUCCUCCGGGAGGCAGCAGUGGGGAAUAUGGGACAAUGGGCGAAAGCCUGAUCCAGCCAUGCCGGGUGUGUGAAGAAGGUCUUGGGAUUGUAAAGCUCUUUAAGCUGGGAGGCGUUACCAACAGAAUAAGCACCGGCUAACUCCGUGCCAGCCGCCGCGGUAAUUC
rnacentral:rRNA from 1 species